CAGUGGUAUUUGUGGUUUUUGAAGUAGUUGUGGUGAUGUUGGAUGGUGCUGAGGUAACAGCAGUGGUAUUGGUGGUUUUUGAAGUAGUUGUGGUGAUGUUGGAUGGUGCUGAGGUAACAGCAGUGGUAUUUGCGGUUUUUGAAGUAGUUGUAGUGGUGCUGGAUGGUGCUGAGGUAACAGCAGUGGUAUUGGUGGGUACUGAAGCAGUUGUAGUGGUGCUGGAUGGUGCUGAGGCAGCAGCAGUGGUAUUGAUGGUUUUUGAAGUAGUUGUGGUGGUCCUUGGUGGUGCAGAGGUAACAGCAGUGGUAUCGGUGAGUUUUGAAGUAGUUGUCGAGGUGCUUGAUGGAGCCAAGGCAACAGUGGGGGUACUUGUUUGAUUCAAUGUUCCAUUCGACGGUCUUGCUGUUGUAUUGGUAGUGGAGGGAAUCUCUGAAAAUGCAAUCAACUAUGUAAUGACUAAAAUGCCGAGAUAUCCAAACAAAUUUCAACAGUUAGGAGAGUUAAUAUCUCAGUUAAGAAAAUAUAUUUGAUGUUUUGAAGCAAAGUAGAUGGAUGCAACAAGGAAGAAGCAUGGAAACUUUCCGUUGUCACCCAUCAAAAACUGCUCUCAUUUGAAAAUAUUUCCCCAUAUUUGGGAUUCACCUCCAGAUGACAGUCCGUGUCCACUGAAAAGGAAUGGUUGUUACCCCUUUCUU